UACGAAGGGGGCUAGCGUUGCUCGGAAUCACUGGGCGUAAAGCGCACGUAGGCGGAUUGUUAAGUCAGGGGUGAAAUCCUGGAGCUCAACUCCAGAACUGCCUUUGAUACUGACGGUCUUGAGUUCGGGAGAGGUGAGUGGAACUGCGAGUGUAGAGGUGAAAUUCGUAGAUAUUCGCAAGAACACCAGUGGCGAAGGCGGCUCACUGGCCCGAUACUGACGCUGAGGUGCGAAAGCGUGGGGAGCAAACAGG
rnacentral:rRNA from 1 species